rnacentral:rRNA from 1 species
UACGUAGGGGGCUAGCGUUGUCCGGAAUCAUUGGGCGUAAAGCGCGUGUAGGCGGUCCGGUAAGUCCGCUGUGAAAGCCAGGGGCUCAACCCUUGGAUGCCGGUGGAUACUGUCGGGCUUGAGUACGGAAGAGGCGAGUGGAAUUCCUGGUGUAGCGGUGAAAUGCGCAGAUAUCAGGAGGAACACCAAUGGCGAAGGCAGCUCGCUGGAACGGUACUGACGCUGAGGCGCGAAAGCGUGGGGAGCGAACAGG